ensembl:lncRNA
CCAUGCAAGCAGCUCACAAAAUUGAUGGAAGUUGUAUAUUUCUAAAUGACUAAAUUCUUUCAGACUGUAAUUGGCUAAUAUUUUCUGAUCGUUCUCCAAGGGGAACUGUAUAACAAUGCAAGCAGCUCACAAUUAAUGAGAGUAGUCAUUUUCUUGGGAGACUAUAGCAGUGCUCAAAUAUGUUCUGAUCCUGCUCCAAGGCUGGUGUGGUGAGAUGUGGUGUGGUUAAAUGUGGGGAGGUGAGGUGUGGUGUGGUGAGGUGAGGUGAGGUAUGGUGAGAUGUGGUGUGGUUAGAUGUGGGGAGGUGAGGUGUGGUGUGGUGUGGUGUAGUGAGGUGUGGUGAGGUGUGGUGUGGUGAGGUGAGGUAUGGUGAGAUGUGGGGAGGUGCGGUGAGAUGUGGUGUGGUGUGGUAUGGUAUGGUGAGAUGUGGUGUGGGGAGGUGAGGUGAGGUGAGGUGAGGUGUGGUGAGGUGAGGUGAGGUGUGGUGUGGUAUGGUAUGGUGAGAUGUGGUGUGGUGUGGUUAGAUGUGGGGAGGUGAUGUGUGGUGAGAUGCGGUGUGGUGAGGUGUGGUGUGGUGAGAUGAGAUGUGGUGUGGUGAGAUGUGGGGCGGUGAGAUGAGGUGUGGUGUGGUGAGAAGUGGUGUGUUGUGUCUGAGGUGUGGUGCGGUGAGAUGAGGUGUGGUGUGGUGAGAUGUGGUGUGUUGUGUCUGAGGUAUGGUGCGGUGAGAUGAGGUGUGGUGAGAUGUGGUGUGUUGUGGUGAGAUGUGGUGUGUUGUGUCUGAGGUGUGGUGUGUUAUGUCUGAGGUGUGUUGUGUCUGAGGUGUGGUGUGGUGAGAUGUGGUGUGUUGUGUCUGCGGUGUGGUGUGGUGUGGUGAGGUGUGGUGAGAUGUGGUGUGUUGUGUCUGCGGUGUGGUGUGGUGUGGUGAGAUGAGGUGUGUUGUGUCUGAGGUGUGGUGUGGUGAGAUGAGGUGUGGUGUGGUGAGAUGAGAUGAGGUGUGGUGUGGUGAGAUGAGGUGUGUUGUGUCUGAGUUGUGGUGUGGUGAGAUGAGGUGUGUUGUGUCUGAGGUGUGGUGAGAUGUGGGGAGAUGUGGUGAGGUGUGGUGUGUUGUGUCUGAGGUGUGGUGUGUUGUGUCUGAGGUGUGGUGAGAUGAGGUGUGGUGUGGUGAGAUGAGAUGAGGUGUGGUGUGGUGAGAUGAGGUGUGUUGUGUCUGAGGUGUGGUAGCGGAUGUAUAUAUCAUGAUGUAGGUAAAGGUCAGGCACAGUGCAUCUAAUUCUUCUCCUGAUUGUUUUGAAGGGCGUUGUGGCAGCAUCCAUCAGGCCACUUUAUAAAGGCUUCCGCCGGUCCGUAGUGCCUCG